AUGCGGAUCAAGAAAAAUGUCCCCAAGAUCGACAGGAAGCAAGACUACGACAUGAAGCUUUGCAAGUUGCUGAAUGAGUACUACAGUGUGCUCAUAGUGGAGGCAGACCACGUCGGCUCCACCCAGCUCGCGGCCGUCCGUAGGGGCAUCCGCGGCGAGUCGGAGCUGCUCAUGGGGAAGAACACCCUCAUCCACCGCUGCAUCAAGGUGCACGCCGAGGCGACGGGCAAUGACAAGAUCAAGGCUAUCAUACCGCUACUCGAAGGAAACGUCGGUCUCAUCUUCACCAAGGCUGACUUCAAGAAGGUUCGCGAGGAGGUCGCCAAGUACAAGGUUGGGGCCCCUGCUCGUGUUGGGCUGGUUGCUCCUAUUGAUGUGGUGCUUCCCCCUGGCAACACUGGUCUGGAUCCCUCCCAAACUUCUUUCUUCCAGGUGCUUAACAUCCCCACCAAGAUCAAUAAGGGCACUGUUGAAAUCCUGGCCCUGGUGGACAUCACCAAGAAGGGUGACAAGGUGGGCUCGUCCGAGGCUGCCCUGCUUGCCAAGCUCGGUAUCCGCCCAUUCUCCUAUGGGCUUGUGAUCACAAAUAUUUAUGAAGAUGGGUUAGUCUUCAGCCUAAGGUUCUUGACCUCACAGACGAAGACCUGA
rnacentral:rRNA from 1 species